rnacentral:rRNA from 1 species
GAUGAACGCUGGCGGCGUGCCUAAUACAUGCAAGUCGAGCGAACAGACGAGGAGCUUGCUCCUCUGACGUUAGCGGCGGACGGGUGAGUAACACGUGGAUAACCUACCUAUAAGACUGGGAUAACUUCGGGAAACCGGAGCUAAUACCGGAUAAUAUAUUGAACCGCAUGGUUCAAUAGUGAAAGACGGUUUUGCUGUCACUUAUAGAUGGAUCCGCGCCGCAUUAGCUAGUUGGUAAGGUAACGGCUUACCAAGGCAACGAUGCGUAGCCGACCUGAGAGGGUGAUCGGCCACACUGGAACUGAGACACGGUCCAGACUCCUACGGGAGGCAGCAGUAGGGAAUCUUCCGCAAUGGGCGAGAGCUUGACGGAGCAACGCCGCGUGAGUGAUGAAGGUCUUCGGAUCGUAAAACUCUGUUAUUAGGGAAGAACAAAUGUGUAAGUAACUAUGCACGUCUUGACGGUACCUAAUCAGAAAGCCACGGCUAACUACGUG